rnacentral:rRNA from 1 species
CCUACGGGGGACAGCAGUGGGGAAUAUUGCACAAUGGGGGAAACCCUGAUGCAGCGACGCCGCGUGAGUGAAGAAGUAUCUCGGUACGUAAAGCUCUAUCAGCAGGGAAGAAAAUGACGGUACCUGACUAAGAAGCCCCGGCUAACUACGUGCCAGCAGCCGCGGUAAUACGGAGGAUGCGAGCGUUAUCCGGAUUUAUUGGGUUUAGAGGGUGCGUAGGCGGAAUGCCAAGUCAGCGGUAAAAUCGCGGGGCUCAACCUCGCUCCGCCGUUGAAACUGGCGUUCUUGAGUGGGCGAGAAGUAUGCGGAAUGCGUGGUGUAGCGGUGAAAUGCAUAGAUAUCACGCAGAACUCCGAUUGCGAAGGCAGCAUACCGGCGCCCGACUGACGCUGAGGCACGAAAGCGUGGGUAUCGAACAGGAUUAGAUACCCUUGUAGU